UUCCUCUUCUCACUCUACCUCUCUACUCCCCACUCUCAUCCCUCCUCAACCUUCGAAAGCCACCUCCAAACCUCAACUCCCAUUUUCUCACUCACCAUCAAACUCCUAACAUAUGAUCGCCUCCCUUCUCUCUCCCGCGGCCUCCGCUCUCUCGCUACAGUUGAUUACGGCGCUGACAGAGUCCAUCUCCACAUCUUCAUCGACCAUUUCCGAAAUGGGUCUGACGAUUUGAAUCUCAAACUGAGUGAAUCGCGUCAAAUCUUGGAUUUUGUUGAUAGGUUUUUGUGAAAAUUUG
rnacentral:lncRNA from 1 species